ACAGCUCAGUAACACGUGGACAACGUACCCAAAGGUCUGGGAUAACUCCGGGAAACUGGGGAUAAUACCGGAUAGGUCAAGAGUACUGGAAGGGUUUUUUUGAUUGAAAGCUCUGGCGCCUUUGGAUGGGUCUGCGGCUGAUUAGGUUGACGCCGGUGUAAAGUACCGGCGUGCCGAUUAUCAGUACGGGUUGUGGGAGCAAGAGCCCGGAGAUGGAUUCUGAGACACGAAUCCAGGCCCUACGGGGCGCAGCAGGCGCGAAAACUCUACAAUGCAGGCAACUGCGAUAGGGGAACAUCGAGUGGCAUCUACAUUAGGUGUCUGUCCAGCUGUCUAAAAAACGGCUGUUAGCAAGGGCCGGGCAAGACCGGUGCCAGCCGCCGCGGUAAUACCGGCGGCUCGAGUGGUGGCCGAUAUUAUUGAGUCUAAAGGGUCCGUAGCCGGCUUUGCAAGUCUUGUGGGAAAUCCAGCGGCUUAACCGUUGGGCGUCUGCGGGAUACUACAUUGCUUGGGACUGGGAGAGGUAGGAGGUACUCAGGGGGUAGGAGUGAAAUCCUGUAAUCCUCUGGGGACCACCGGUGGCGAAGGCGUCCUACCAGAACAGGUCCGACGGUGAGGGACGAAAGCUAGGGGCACGAACCGGAUUAAAUACCCGGGUAGUCCUAGCCGUAAACGAUGCCCGCUAGGUGUCACGGCAGUCGUGAACUGCCGUGGUGCCGUAGGGAAGCCGUGAAGCGGGCCACUUGGGAAGUACGACCGCAAGGUUGAAACUUAAAGGAAUUGGCGGGGGAGCAC
rnacentral:rRNA from 1 species